GUGUUCUCAUGGGCUUUUUAAUAAGUGAUUUAUCCAUAAGAAUAAAAGUGUGAAGUGAGGUGUAAAAUGUUGUUAUUUUGGGCCAAAAUUAAGUGAAUGGAUGUCCAAUGCAUGGCCAAAAGAGGUAAAAAAUGUGACUGGUUUGUGCAUCAUGCUUAAAAAAUUUGAUUGGGCCAGCCAGGCCCAAAAUCUGCCUAAAAAAU
rnacentral:lncRNA from 1 species